CAGUAGCCACGGGAAUACAGAGGGUGCGAGCGUUAAUCGGAUUUACUGGGCGUAAAGCGUGCGUAGGCGGCUUCUUAAGUCGGAUGUGAAAUCCCUGAGCUUAACUUAGGAAUUGCAUUCGAUACUGGGAAGCUAGAGUAUGGGAGAGGAUGGUAGAAUUCCAGGUGUAGCGGUGAAAUGCGUAGAGAUCUGGAGGAAUACCGAUGGCGAAGGCAGCCAUCUGGCCUAACACUGACGCUGAGGUACGAAAGCAUGGGGAGCAAACAGGAUUAGAGACCCGCGUAGUCCCUGUCUCUUAUAC
rnacentral:rRNA from 1 species